rnacentral:rRNA from 1 species
UGGCUCAGAAUAAGCGCUGGCGGCGUGCCUAACACAUGCAAGUCGAGCGAGAAAGGUCUUCGGAUCGAGUAAAGCGGCGAACGGGUGAGUAAAGCGUGAGAAUCUGCCCUUCAGUGAAGAAUAUCUUCGAGAAAUCGGAGUUAAUACUGCAUACGUCCCUUCGGGGAGAAAGAUGGCCUCUUUGCUGUCGCUGAUUGAUGAGCUUACGUACUAUUAGCUAGUUGGUGGGGUAAAGGCCUACCAAGGCGAUGAUGGUUAGCCGGCCUGAGAGGGUGAUCGGCCACACUGGAACUUAGAUACGGUCCAGACUCCUACGGGAGGCAGCAGUGAGGAAUCUUGCGCAAUGGGCGAAAGCCUGACGCAGCGACGCCGCGUGGAGGAUGAAGGUCUUAGGAUCGUAAACUUCUGUUAAGCGGGAAGAAAGAACCAAUUUUAAUAGAAUUGGGUGAUGACGGUACCGUUAAAGAAAGCACCGGCUAACUUCGUGCCAGCAGCCGCGGUAAGACGAGGGGUGCGAGCGUUAUUCGGAAUGAUUGGGCGUAAAGGGUGCGCAGACGGUUUGUUAAGUCAAUUGUUAAAUUUCCUGGCCUAACUGGGAGCAAGCGAUUGAUACUAGCAGGCUAGAGGGUGGAAGAGAGAAGUGGAAUUCUCGGAGUAGCGGUAAAAUGCGUAGAUCUCGAGGGGAACACCGAUGGCGAGGCAGCUUCUUGGUCCAUUUCUGACGUUCAUGCACGAAAGCGUGGGUAGCAAACAGGAUUAGAUACCCUGGUAGUCCACGCUGUAAACGAUGAUCACUAGACGUUAAUUGCGCGUAAGCGCACUUAGUGUCGUAGCUAACGCGUUAAGUGAUCCGCCUGGGGCGUACGGUCGCAAGAUUAAAACUCAAAGGAAUUGACGGGGGUCCGCACAAGCGGUGGAACAUGUGGUUUAAUUCGACACUACGCGAGGAACCUUACCUAGGUUUGACAUAUACUCGACCGUUGUAGAAAUACAAUUUUUCAAGUGAAAGCUUGAACGAGUAAACAGGUGCUGCAUGGCUGUCGUCAGCUCGUGUCGUGAGAUGUUGGGUUAAGUCCUUUAACGAGCGCAACUCCUGUUGUUAGUUGCUACUCCGCAAGGAGGCACUCUAAUGAGACUGCCCGGGAGACCGGGAGGAAGGUGGGAAUGACGUCAAGUCCGCAUGGUCCUUAUGCCUAGGGCGACACACGUGUUACAAUGGUUGGUACAAAGGGUCGCAAAUCUGCAAAGAUGAGCCAAUCUCAUAAAGCCAAUCUAAGUUCGGAUUGAGGUCUGCAACUCGACCUCAUGAAGUUGAAAUCGCUAGUAAUCGCGUAUCAGAACGACGCGGUGAAUACGUUCUCGGACCUUGUACACACCGCCCGUCAAGCCAUGAAAGCUUUUUGCACCCAAAGUCAUCUUAGCUGACCUGUAAAGGAGGCGGGUGCCUAAGGAGUGGGAAGCGAUUGGGGCUAAGUCGUAACAAGGUAACC